UUGUUUGGGAAGCACGAGUUCUUGAGUUAAAGUGUCAACCUUGACGUUUCUGACCAAAAAAGCCAGGUCUAAUUAGUUCCCAGCACCGUCGUUAAAAGGUAGUUGCCAAGCGUUUUCGGGAAUUUUGGGUGUUAAAGGCGUAGAAGGGGGUUUCUUAAUUCGGAGGAAAAAGCCCCCGGUUCACCCGGGGAGGGCCUUUGGAAAUGGGGAAACUUGAGUGCGGAGGAGGAGAGGGGAAUUCAAGGGGUAGCGGUGAAAUGUGUAGAGAUGGGGAGGACCCCCAGUGGGGAAGGCGAUUUUUUGGUUUGUAAGGGCCGUUGAGGAGUGAUAGCGGUGUCCGAACACUUUAGAUAGCCUGGUAGUCCACGCCGUAAACGAUGAUCCUUAUUGUU
rnacentral:rRNA from 1 species